AACGAACGCUGGCGGCAGGCUUAACACAUGCAAGUCGAACGCCCCGCAAGGGGAGUGGCAGACGGGUGAGUAACGCGUGGGAAUCUACCCAUCCCUACGGAAUAACGCAUGGAAACGUGUGCUAAUACCGUAUACGCCCUACGGGGGAAAGAUUUAUCGGGGAUGGAUGAGCCCGCGUUGGAUUAGCUAGUUGGUGGGGUAAAGGCCUACCAAGGCGACGAUCCAUAGCUGGUCUGAGAGGAUGAUCAGCCACAUUGGGACUGAGACACGGCCCAAACUCCUACGGGAGGCAGCAGUGGGGAAUAUUGGACAAUGGGCGCAAGCCUGAUCCAGCCCUGCCGCGUGAGUGAUGAAGGCCUUAGGGUUGUAAAGCUCUUUCACCGGAGAAGAUAAUGACGGAAUCCGGAGAAGAAGCCCCGGCUAACUUCGU
rnacentral:rRNA from 1 species